CGGAAGGAUCAUUGCACACACGCGAGUGGCAGCCAACCCGCGGCGAACGAACCCACUGUCCCCCCCCCCCGUCGCCCGGUGCGGGUCGUGGCGCCUCGCGGCGUCGCGGCUCCCGCCGGCCGCCCCUCGUCGCGGAGGGCCUCCCUUCGCGGCGUCGGGUUUCCUUGCCACACGAUGCCAUCACCGAGUGACUGAGUCCCGAAUAUGACUUGAUGGAUACCUUCGAGUUGUGCGAAAUAAGAUCCGAACACAACUCUCAGCAACGGAUAUCUUGGCUCUUGCAACGAUGAAGAACGCAGCGAAAUGCGAUACGUAGUGUGAAUUGCAGAAUUCCGCGAAUCAUCGAGUCUUUGAACGCAAGUUGCGCCCGAGGCUUGUCCGAGGGCAUUUCCGCUAGAGCGUCACCGCGCCCCCACCGACCCACUCCCGCGGUUCGGGUCGAGUGAACGUGGCCAUCCCGGGGACCCUCGUCACCACCUUCCCUUCCCCGGAAGAGAAGAAGGGACGGUUUAGGGUGAGAAGGGUUGGCUGAAAUGGAUGGAAUCGGGCCGCCGCGGUGCCGCAGUCCGCGAUCGGGUGAUCUGCGAGCUCCCGUCCGUCGAUGCGGAGGGAGCCCGGAGUUUUUCUAAGUGCGUGGCUGCGUCCCCCAGUCGGUCGUGUGGUUACCUCGUGCAGGUCGAGCGCCGUCACGCAUCAGACCUCUAAUCGAAA
rnacentral:sRNA from 1 species